GGGUCGCCGCUGAAGCGCGCGGGCCGGGCGGGCACCGGGUCCUCCCGGAGCCCUGGGCGAAGCUCCACUUCGCCCCGCUUCUUUCCGCCCCAGACCCACGCCGGAGGGGCACCCCCAAGCCGGUCGCGGAGCUCUGCCUGGAAAAGAAGUCCGACUUCCUUCCACGCUGCCCGGAGGGGCAUCUGGAAUCCGCAGGAAAUUGCUCAAACACGCAGCCUACGCCUCUGCCGUCCGCGCUCGCUUUGCCGAAGAGAAGCUGCUCCUACCAAAGUCUUGCUUCCCCCUCCCCCCGAAAGCCCCGCGCAGUUUCUGAGUUCGCUGAACGCAGUGAUACCUGCAGCUGUGAGACUCUCCUUUGCAAGUCAGCGCUUGCAGAUCCAGGCUCCAAGCUUCAUUCCUUUUGGUCAAAGAGCCUAAAAUUAAAGCCCGGAGCCAUAUGCUCACCUGGAUGAAACCAUAAAGAGGUAAGCUUUCAUAAUGAAGCACCAUAUAUCAAAAUCCAUAGCUUUUGGGAACUGGAGUAACUACUGCUUGCUCUUUAGAGUCUCAUGCUAGAGCAAAGUACAACUG
rnacentral:lncRNA from 1 species